AAGUCGUAACAUGGUAAGCGUACCGGAAGGUGCGCUUGGAAA
rnacentral:rRNA from 2 species